AUUGAACGCUGGCGGCAUGCUUUACACAUGCAAGUCGAACGGUAACAGGCCGCAAGGUGCUGACGAGUGGCGAACGGGUGAGUAAUGCAUCGGAACGUGCCCAGUCGUGGGGGAUAACUACUCGCAAGAGUAGCUAAUACCGCAUACGAUCUAUGAAUGAAAGCGGGGGACCGUAAGGCCUCGCGCGAUUGGAGCGGCCGAUGUCAGAUUAGGUAGUUGGUGGGGUAAAGGCUCACCAAGCCAACGAUCUGUAGCUGGUCUGAGAGGACGACCAGCCACACUGGGACUGAGACACGGCCCAGAUUCCUACGGGAGGCAGCAGUGGGGAAUUUUGGACAAUGGGCGCAAGCCUGAUCCAGCAAUGCCGCGUGCAGGAAGAAGGCCUUCGGGUUGUAAACUGCUUUUGUACGGAACGAAACGGCUCUGGUUAAUACCCGGGGCUAAUGACGGUACCGUAAGAAUAAGCACCGGCUAACUACGUG
rnacentral:rRNA from 1 species